rnacentral:misc_RNA from 1 species
GUAGGUGAACCUGCGGAAGGAUCAUUAACUCAUAUAUGUUGCUGUCUCACGACAGUGGCACUAUAUUCACAAACCAAAAUUUACCAAUCCGUGAACUAUAUAAUCAAUGAGAACGUGAUAAUUCAUAUGUAUAUGGCGUCGGAGUCUUCGUGCAUAUAAUUGUCAUUUGAAUACCACUUCCAUUAUUAACCAAUAUUAACCCAUUACCGUAAUGUUGUUUUGCUUCAAAGCCAAGGCAGCAUACUAAAAC